rnacentral:misc_RNA from 1 species
ACUUUACCUCAAGAACACUGCCCUGGUAACUACUUUACCUCAAGAACACUGCCCUGAUACAGCUAGAGCUAGAGUAUAACCUUAAGCAUACGGCACAUAUGAAAAAGAAACAAAAGUUCUUGAACAAAACAAGAUUAUAAUAAUAUAAUAAUUCAUUAUAAUAAAAGUUAUCUGUAUUAAAGCCAUGAAUCAAUUUGUGCAAGUGUCUGAGAACAGUAUACAAGACUGGAAGGACUUCACAAGGUCUGCUGUCAAGUUUUUAGAUAUGUAUCGAAAUCUUCUGGAUACAUAUGUAUUGGAUUUCUUCACUGAAGAUUUAUGGUCCCUGUUAAACCCUCAGUGGACAGUCAUUUUGGAUACCUUAACACCUUGUGAUCUGGCAAAUUUCCUCUCUCGUGAUUCAACUUUAAGGCAAAAAAAUGUUUGGCCACUUUCCCUGCAAGCACUUCGAGCAACUGCUUUUACGUACACUUUACCAAGAAGAUCUGUUUUGUCAGCAGACCCAUUCACAAGUUACCUCAAUCACCAGAUUCAGAAUAGAGAAACAUUUUCAGACUGUGAUGAACAUGGAUAUGAUACAAAUAAUUCAUUAGAACAAAAUACAAAUUUAAAAACUGAUGCCGGAAUAUCACCACUUCCAUUCAGCAUGCAGAAUUUACUCAGUGUUCUGCACAAAGAAAGUAAAGAAAGCAAUAUAACAACCAAGUAUAGUGAGGUGUCAUCUAUAAAUCACAGCACAGACAGCAGCGGUGUAUCAGACAUAAUGGAAGACUGUAGCAAUUCAACAAACUCUGGUUCACAACAGUGUAGUGAGCAUGAAAAAUUAUCUGAUGUACAGAACUCUAAGAAAAGUAAAAGUACAGUAGAGCAUGAGGAAAAAAAUACCUCAAUUCAUAUCUGUCAGCAACUCAAGGUCUGUAAAACAGAUGACAGUGCAAAGGAUUCAACAAAGUUAAUGCCCCCAAGUGAACUGAUGUCUGUAAGAUGGGGUGAUGCAUCUUUGGAACUAAGUGCAGCGGCAGGGCAGCACAUGUUACUUAAGCAUGUUUUUCGUCGUCAUCUAAAACCUAAGAAACAACAUGAGGUUGCUCGCUUGGCUCUAAUAGCUGGGCAGAUUGCACGAAACACUUGCAAUGGUGUCAUGAUUGAUGUGGGCUCUGGUCAAGGCCACCUCUCAAGACUGCUUGCAUACGGACAUGAUGUGAGAGUUGUUUGUCUGGAAGCACAGGAUGAUUUCAUCAAUGGUGCAAAGAAAUUUGAUAAUCAAUUAGAAAUGGCUGUGGAAAAAAUGAAACGACGAGAGACUUCCUUACCUUCCCUCCCACCUGCUCCUCGUCAUACUACGUGCCUCCUUGAGCCACAUAUGGAUCCUCAGACAUUUAGAGAGGUGGUGACAGGAGCAUGGCCAGAGUUGGACUCGGGAGGGGUGGUGUGUGGUCUCUUAGGGCUACACACUUGUGGCAACUUGGCCCCAACCAUGCUAAGGAUCUUCACCAACAUGUCAACAUGCCAAGCAGUUGUAUCUGUUGGGUGCUGCUACAUGAAGCUGGAUACUCACAGUGAUGAAACAGAACAUCCUGGUUACCCCAUGAGCAAAUUUGUUUGCUCCUUGCCUGGGUUUAUGUUAAGCUAUGAGGCACGAGAAGUUGCAUGUCACGCCAUAGAAAUGUACAUCAGCCGACUCAAAGUAGGAGCAGAUAACCUGAAGAGCAGCCCUAGAAGAAAUAAUCAUGAAGUACUGGCCACAUCAUCGUCAUGCUGGGUUACGCUCUGUCAAUCAUGCCCACAAAAUGGAAUUUUCCCAGUAUGCUGUGGAAGCUGUUUCUCGGUUAAGAGGUAUUGAAAUACCACGAGGGGAUCUGACCAGUGCCAAGACCAAACAUAAUCUCGCCCGUUGGAUGCAGGUUGUUAUCUUCUACUCGUUACGGCUGCUGUUAGCUCCAGUAGUGGAGUCAGUGGUACUUCUUGACAGACUACUCUUUCUGUACGAAAAAG